GCUGAAUGAAAUCAAGCUCCCCUAAUCUCAAUUGGGAAAUUGGACCAAUGGAAAUGAUGUUCAGUGGCUUGCAGAUGUACCUAAUUAACCAGCCAGAUUAGAAGGGUCUAGGAUUCCUUUGUAAGGCGCAGCAAGAAAGACAAUCAGAUACAAUAUCAGGGAUCUCCUGGUAAGGCUUCUGGCUACCAUUAGUUCUGAAUACUGAGGUUUUGAUGAGAAAAAUGGCUGUGAGUUUUGAAAUGUCUUUGAGAAUUUCUUGGAUUUGUUGCCUGCUAAUUGGAGGGAUAACCUGUUAUCCUCCACCUAAAGGUAACUAUAGAUAUAUUCCCCCAAAUAAAUUAAAAGGAACCACGACUGGCCCAAAUACUUUAGGUGGAGCAACUGGAUCCCGUACCGAAGCAGCCACCCACAAUGCCUCAGCAAGUGCCACGACUGGCCCAAAUACUUUAGGUGAAGCAACUGGCCACAGUGCCUCGGCAGCGGAAGCUACUGGCCACAGUGCCUCGCAAGCGGCCCCCCGUAAUGCCUCGGCAGCAGAAGCGGCCACACAUAAUGCCUCGGCAAGUGUGGUAACUGGCCCAAAUACCUUAGGUGAAUCAUCUGGCCACAAUGCUUCAUCAGGUGUCACGGCGGGCCCAAAUACCUUGGGUGAAGCAGCAGCAGCAACCCGAAAUGCCUCAGCAAGCGUUACGGCUGGGCCAAAUACCUUAGGUGAAGCAACUGGCCACGGUUCCUCGGAAGCAACUGGCCACGGAGCCUCGGCAGCAGAAGCAACUGGCCACAGUGCCACCCACAAUGCCUCGGCAAGUGUGUCAACUGGCCCAAAUACCUUAGGUGAAGCACCUGGCCACAAUGUUUCAUCAGGUGUCACGGCAGGCCCAAAUACCUUGGGUGAAGCAGCAGCAGCAACCCGAAAUGCCUCAGCAAGCGUCACGGCUGGCCCAAAUACCUUAUGUGAAGCAACCGGCCACUUUGCCUCAUCAAGUGCGGAAUCUGGUUCAAAUGCUUCGGCAGAAGCGACAGGCGCCCUUGCCUCGGCAGAAGCGACAGGCGCCCUUGCCUCGGCAGGAGCGACAGGCGCCCUUGCCUCGGCAGGAGCGACAGGCGCCCUUGCCUCGGCAGGAGCGACAGGCGCCCUUGCCUCGGCAGGAGCGACAGGCGCCCUUGCCUCGGCAGGAGCGACAGGCGCCCUUGCCUCGGCAGGAGCGACAGGCGCCCUUGCCUCGGCAGGAGCGACAGGCGCCCUUGCCUCGGCAGGAGCGACAGGCGCCCUUGCCUCGGCAGGAGCGACAGGCGCCCUUGCCUCGGCAGGAGCGACAGGCGCCCUUGCCUCGGCAGGAGCGACAGGCGCCCUUGCCUCGGCAGGAGCGACAGGCGCCCUUGCCUCGGCAGGAGCACAGCCUUGAACAGGAGGGCCAACUCCUCAAGCAACAUGGAUUUUAGCAGCAGUGAUGUUUCUCAGGAUUUUGUGUCUGAUGGUGACAAUGAAAGCACCUAAUGUGUCAGCUCCAGCAGCGUUCAAGGCAGCAUCGUUGAACAGUCAGUUCUCAUCCCAAUAUAGUUACAAAUCGGUUUAUGAGAAUGGCAGAACUGUCUACUCCCAAUCCUGCCACACCCCUGGGGAGGUUAUACCUUUUUGAUAGCGGAGAAGCAUAUCCCCACCUGCUAAAAACUCUCAACCUGCUAAAGGAACCCCACCACAAGGCUACGGCUACUGGGAUGCAAUGUAAUGUAUAACUUUUACACAUCUGAACUUUGCGUUCUGAUUUUGAAAUCCUUUGUACUAAUCAGCUAUCAACAGAAUUGUAAAUGUAGAUUCAUCCUUUGGAUGACAUUUGAGUUAUUGCUGACACUUUCUUUAAGCUUCCACUGUAUGCUUUUGCGACGGCCAGGGAGUUGCUGCUGCUCAUGCUACCCUGCAUUACUUGUAAAACAAUAAAAUAUUGUACCUUUAAA
ensembl:lncRNA